rnacentral:rRNA from 1 species
CCUACGGGUGGCAGCAGUCGAGAAUCAUUCACAAUGGGGGAAACCCUGAUGGUGCGACGCCGCGUGGGGGAAUGAAGGUCUUCGGAUUGUAAACCUCUGUCAUGUGGGAGCAAAUUAAAAAGAUAGUACCACAAGAGGAAGAGACGGCUAAUUCUGUGCCAGUAGCCGCGGUAAAGCAGCGGUCGUAAGCGGUGUUCGGCAGGACUGGGCUUAAAGGGUUCGUAGGCGGUUUCGUAAGUCCUGUGUGAAAGGUGCGGGGUCAACCCGCGGAGUGCAGAUGAUACUGCGAGACUAGAGUAGGAGAGAGGGAAGCGGAAUUCGCGGUGUAGCGGUGAAAGGCGUAGAUAUCGAGAGGAACACUCGUGGCGAAGGCAGGUUCCUGGACAUUAACUGACGCUGAGGCACGAAGGCGAGGGGAGCGAAAAGGAUUAGAUACCCGGGUAGUC